GGCGUGGCCUAGCGGUUAGCGUCGGGCUACAGCCUGGGAGACGAGGGUUCAAAUCCCUGCAAGGCCA